AUCUCUUCUUGGCCUUUUGGCUAAGUAUCUGUUCUUAAUUAGUUUAACACCAGAUAUGUCUUCUAUAUGAGGACAAUAUAUUAAAUGGAUUUUUGGAACUAGGAAAUGGACAAUAGGAGCUUGCUCCGUCCACUCCAUGCAACAACCUGGUAUUGCAGCACUUUCAGAAAUGGUACAAACCCC